rnacentral:tRNA from 1 species
CGGGGCGUAGCGCAGCCUGGUAGCGCGUCUGCUUUGGGAGCAGAAGGUCGCCGGUUCGAGUCCGGCCGCCCCGA